rnacentral:rRNA from 1 species
AGUGAACGCUGGCGGUAGGCCUAACACAUGCCAGUCGAACGGCAGCACAGUAAGAGCUUGCUCUUACGGGUGGCGAGUGGCGGACGGGUGAGGAAUACAUCGGAAUCUACUUUUUCGUGGGGGAUAACGUAGGGAAACUUACGCUAAUACCGCAUACGACCUACGGGUGAAAGCAGGGGAUCUUCGGACCUUGCGCGAUUGAAUGAGCCGAUGUCGGAUUAGCUAGUUGGCGGGGUAAAGGCCCACCAAGGCGACGAUCCGUAGCUGGUCUGAGAGGAUGAUCAGCCACACUGGAACUGAGACACGGUCCAGACUCCUACGGAGGCAGCAGUGGGGAAUAUUGGACAAUGGGCGCAAGCCUGAUCCAGCCAUACCGCGUGGGUGAAGAAGGCCUUCGGGUUGUAAAGCCCUUUUGUUGGGAAAGAAAAGCAGCAGGUUAAUACCCCGCUGUUCUGACGGUACCCAAAGAAUAAGCACCGGCUAACUUCGUG